rnacentral:siRNA from 1 species
CAUGUACGUAGAUGAGUGCCC